GGAAGGCGGGGGACCCGGGACUUCCAAGUGUGUCUGGUUUCCCGCAGAAUCCAGCCUCUGUCCACGUGAACUCUGCUCUGUCCUCUGGGCUCAUAAUGUUCUGAGACUCUUGCUGCCUCUUUCAUGGAUUCCCCUUCUAUUUCCCUGAGACGACUCACAGGUCACAGAAAGCUGCCUCCCAUCCUUGCGGCUCCAUCAAGGUGCUUUGGAGGCAGGUAAAGCGCAGGCCCCACACAUUGAUUUUAAUUUUCAACACUUAGCACCUGACUUAGUGAUCUAAGAUCACUGACUCAGAAAACAGGAAAGGUCAGUCUGCCUAACACCUCACCCAGCGUCCUGGGAUUAGCAUCCAAAACAAACAGAUCAGAGAUGGGAUGCAGACUCCCAAGAGAUGAUUCCCACAUGUGAGAAAGCCCAGGAGAAGCGGAUGGCGGAUGGCGUUUCUCAAGCUCGCUGACGUCACUCAAGUUCAUGAUCCAAGGCUUCACCCUACUGGGGUUGGGGGGUUGGGUUCUACUGGAAGAGUGAAGCUGGUGGAUUAAGAAAAGUGGUGGUAGGGAGAGGGAGGGAAAGGAGUUCUUUCUGCUAGUCAAAGGAGAAACCAAAUAAAAUGAAUGAAGUCCAAGAAAAA
ensembl:lncRNA SOX9-AS1 SOX9 antisense RNA 1